rnacentral:rRNA from 1 species
GGCCUACCAUGGUGGUAACGGGUAACGGGGUGUUAGGGCACGACACCGGAGAGGGAGCCUGAGAAACGGCUACCACAUCCAAGGAUGGCAGCAGGCGCGCAAAUUACCCAAUCCCGACACGGGGAGGUAGUGACAAUAAAUAACAAUACGGGGUCCUUUCGGGUUUCGUAAUUGGAAUGAGUACAAUUUAAAUCUCUUAACGAGGAACAAUUGGAGGGCAAGUCUGGUGCCAGCAGCCGCGGUAAUUCCAGCUCCAAUAGCGUAUAUUAAAGUUGUUGCAGUUAAAAAGCUCGUAGUUGAAUUUCGGGAUCAGUACGUUGGUCGUGCCUUAGGUACGUACUGGUGUUACUGGUUCCUACCUUCUGACGAACCAUCAUGUCAUUCAUUUGGUGUGGCGGGGAAUCAGGAGUGGUACUUUGAAAAAAUUAGAGUGUUUAAAGCAGGCUCGCGCUUGAAUACAUUAGCAUGGAAUAAUGAAAUAGGACGUUGAUCCUAUUUUGUUGGUUUCUAGGAUUGACGUAAUGAUUAAUAGGGAUAGUUGGGGGCAUUAGUAUUCAAUUGUCAGAGGUGAAAUUCUUGGAUUUAUUGAAGACUAACUACUGCGAAAGCAUUUGCCAAGGAUGUUUUCAUUAAUCAAGAACGAAAGUUAGGGGAUCGAAGACGAUCAGAUACCGUCGUAGUCUUAACCAUAAACUAUGCCGACUAGGGAUCGGAUGAUGUUAAUUUUUUAAUGACUCAUUCGGCGCCUUACG